rnacentral:siRNA from 1 species
CUUUGUAGUUUAUCCCUAGGUGGC